UUCUGGUUGUGGAAAGGCAAGUGAGGAGGAGCUGGGGACAUGUUUGGAUCCCCUCAAUCCAUCAGCGGAGUACCAGAUUGCCUACUUCCUGGCCAGCAGCCUCCCAACAUUUUCAUCAGGAUGGAGAUGGGCACCACGGUGAGGCAGUAAUUGGCCUCUGAGCUGGCCCCGGAGUUGACAUGCACCUUCAGGCUAUUGGCUAAGAGGAGACAGGGCUGCGGUGCAGCCACUGAAGACCACUGUUAUCACCGGUGAGAAGAGAGCCCAGAGAAGCUUCAAGACCAGAAACAACAGUUUCAAGACCAUGAAUAGUGGCUCCACGUUAACUACAUAUAAAUUAACAUGUCUGAAGAAACACUGGUGCUAUGCGGUCAUCCUGCCGGCCUAAAACAUAAUCUGUAAGAUCCUUGCUGGCUUGCCCAUGGAGGUGUUUGUCAGCGGACCGGUUUCCAUUGUCAGAAGAGAAGUGUUCACUGUUCUAGCCCUGGAACCAGCAGCCUGCUUCAGAGUGAAAACAGGAAAAAUCUGCUUACUGUGGAGAAAAUUUUGGGCUGAAAUCCAUAGCCACGUGGAGCUGGAGUGGACAAGGAGACAUCAGACAGGAAUCAUUGCAGCUCCAAGAGCACAUCUCCCAGACAUCUGUUCUCUGCCUCUCUCUGACCUGAGUCCAGCAUGGGUCACUGGAGUCUCUCUGCAUUAACUCGAUGCCACUUACACAUUCCCUUCCUGAUGUUUUUUUUGUUUUUCUUCUUCUUUUUUUUUUUUUAAUUUUUUUGUAGGAUUGUUACCUAUGCUUCUGCAAAAGGUGUGUCUGGACCAAUUCCAUGAUAGAAAAUCAGUUCACAUUUUGCCCAGAGCAAUGUAAUCAAGGUUGUUCCACUUCCAGCCCUAAGUGAGAUGCAUUUUCCUCCUCUUGUGAGAUGUUUUUGUCAUUAUUCAAGCCAAUUUUCUGCCAUCAGCCUAAACUACUACUUGCUGUAGUCUCUUCACCCCACAGAGAAAUCCCUUUUACCACUGUCUCCUGAUAACCUAGAGUCCUUGACUUCUAACAAGAAUAAGGGCUCACCGAGGGCUUAUCAGGCUUCCUGGCUUUAUGGGAGACCCAUCCUCUCUGAACGUGACUGAGUCUAGCUCACUGUGGAAACACAGCAGGGGCUCCUGAACGAUGUUCUUUCUUAUCUCACCAGUGAGGCCCUGGGCUGCUGCAGGGCUCCCGUGCCAUCUUACAGCUGGAUGCACAAAAACUUGUUGUCAAGACCUGCAAAGUUGAGGUACAGGAGAGCAGUUUCUCCAGGUGUGUUUCCUCUACUUUGUUUUCACGUGAACUCUUCCACUGUGACAAUAUCGAAGCUGGAGUUGGAGCCCCAGGGCCCUUCUGGGACACAUUCUGUAAGGACCUCUGAAGAAUCUGGAACAUCAGGAUCAUGGGCAGAAUGUUCUGUGGUGAAGCUGUGGGAGACAGCAGGUGGAGUUGUAUGAGAUUGCCUGGUGCGUGUGGUCUGGGGAAGCUCUUACCAGAGGCCUGUGGGAUAUUGGUGGAGGUGUCUUCUGAGGUCUUGAGGUGGCCUUCAGGACCCAUCUGUGGCAUGAAGAAAGGAAAGUUUCCUAUAGGCCCCCUGGGACUGAAUGAAGGAUACACUACCAGUCACUCAGGCCCCUUGCCUGACCGUACUCCUCCGUGAUUUCCGGGUCCCCUUCCUGCUGGACUGUCCCUUCCCCAGCCUCUCAGAGAGCCAUUAACAUGCCCAUCUCAGUGGGGGGAGGGGAAGC